rfam:Burkholderia glumae PG1 chromosome 2, complete sequence.
GAACGUUCUCAGGGCGGGGCGAAAUUCCCCACCGGCGGUAAUCGUGCCUCGUGCAUGUAGCCCGCGAACAGCUCGCGUCAGGUACACCUGCGCGAUGCCUGCCGACCCGGUGGGAUUCCGGGGCCGACGGUCAUAGUCCGGAUGAGAGAGAGCGGGG